rnacentral:rRNA from 1 species
CCUACGGGAGGCAGCAGUGGGGAAUAUUGCACAAUGGGCGAAAGCCUGAUGCAGCAACGCCGCGUGAAGGAAGACGGUUUUCGGAUUGUAAACUUCUAUCAAUAGGGAAGAAAGAAAUGACGGUACCUAAAUAAGAAGCCCCGGCUAACUACGUGCCAGCAGCCGCGGUAAUACGUAGGGGGCAAGCGUUAUCCGGAAUUACUGGGUGUAAGGGAGAGUAGGCGGCAAGGUAAGCGAUAUGUGAAAGCCUUAGGCUUAACCAAAGGAUUGCAUAACGAACUAUCUAGCUAGAGUACAGGAGAGGAAAGCGGAAUUCCUGGUGUAGCGGUGAAAUGCGUAGAUAUCAGGAGGAACACCGGUGGCGAAGGCGGCCUGCUGGACUGCAACUGACGUUGAGGCCCGAAAGCGUGGGGAGCAAACAGGAUUAGAUACCCUAGUAGUC